rnacentral:rRNA from 1 species
AACGAACGCUGGCGGCAUGCCUAACACAUGCAAGUCGAACGAACCCUUCGGGUGAGUGGCGCACGGGUGCGUAACGCGUGGGAACCUGCCCUUAGGUUCGGAAUAACAGUGAGAAAUCGCUGCUAAUACCGGAUAAUGUCUUCGGACCAAAGAUUUAUCGCCUUUGGAUGGGCCCGCGUUGGAUUAGCUAGUUGGUGGGGUAAAGGCUCACCAAGGCGACGAUCCAUAGCUGGUCUUAGAGGAUGAUCAGCCACACUGGGACUGAGACACGGCCCAGACUCCUACGGGAGGCAGCAGUGGGGAAUAUUGGACAAUGGGCGAAAGCCUGAUCCAGCAAUGCCGCGUGAGUGAUGAAGGCCUUAGGGUUGUAAAGCUCUUUUACCAGGGAUGAUAAUGACAGUACCUGGAGAAUAAGCUCCGGCUAACUCCGUG